GUGUAAAAUAUUCCAAACGCCACAACAUGAAACAACAAGGACAAAUUCCGCCCAAAGUUGCUUUUGCGACGAUCCAGAUCAAGCCGAACCGGAAAGAAGUGAGCUCCUAGCCUAGGAGUCCUAGGAGUAUUUCGGCAUCACUCUUCUACUAUCAAAAGCAAAGACUAGAAACCAAAAGAGAAAUUAUUUCUCUUUUUCCGACUGACUUGUGACGCUCCUGUCAUAGUAGGCGGCUGACGCCCGUCAUCGCUUGCUGAUGCGGAUAUAUUUGUGCUGCUUGGACUCGCGAGCGACGGGAAAUUACCUCUCUGUCCGAGAGAACGUUGAAGCACCGUGGCCGUGACGACUCCAGUUUAGAUCCGUCGUCCAAGCUAGGCAAUCCCAUAUUGAGCCUUGAGUAAUAGUGUUCGAGACGUAAGCAUUAAGUGGUCAGUUUUCCACGCCUUUUAAUCCCGUAAACAACGAGAACAAGAUAGGAAGGUGGAACAGCAAAAAGGAUUCCAGUCCGUCGCCCAAUGUGUGCUUCCAGAGAAGGGUUCGGCAGGAUUGCUCUACGUUAUAUAUUUUUUCGUAACAUAUUCCUCGUAUCGUUCAACUCAAUGCAAAAGCUUUCUAAUCAAUCAAAUGUGAUUCGGUUUUCGAUCUACCUAGUUGUUUUGAGUCUUUUGAUGAAAAUCUCUUCGGACCAGCAUAUUGAUGUUCAGCUGCGACACUUCCAGAACGGACCACCCAAAUCUACGGAAACAGGCUGAAGAAGAAGUUCAACAGUCGCUCGAUGAUUUCCUGGAAGAAGAUUGCACACGCUACCGCUAGAAAGAGUUGGAAAAGCACACCAGAACUAUGGUUAGUCGAACGGAUGCACCGGUUGCGUCAUUCAAGAGGCUGGCCUCGAAAAAUGUACCGUUUGGAUGCCGUUCUAAUCCUAGGAUCAC